rnacentral:rRNA from 1 species
UACGUAGGGUGCGAGCGUUGUCCGGAAUUAUUGGGCGUAAAGAGCUCGUAGGCGGUCUGUCGCGUCGAAAUGUGAAACCCGGAGCUCAACUCCGGGCUUGCAUUCGAUACGGGCAGGCUAGAGUUCGGUAGGGGGAGUCUGGAAUUCCUGGUGUAGCGGUGAAAUGCGCAGAUAUCAGGAGGAACACCGGUGGCGAAGGCGGGACUCUGGGCCGAUACUGACGCUGAGGAGCGAAAGCGUGGGGAGCGAACAGG